CCUGGUGUUUUAUUGUUUUUUCUGGUUUCUAAUUGCUUGAUUUAAUUCUGCUAUUGUUAUCUCUUUAUUUAGCAGUUCUGUUU